rnacentral:sRNA from 1 species
UAGUGUCGGACUAAUCUAGCUCUUGGAUC